AGAUUGAACGCUGGCGGAAUGCUUUACACAUGCAAGUCGAACGGCAGCACGGGGGCAACCCUGGUGGCGAGUGGCGCACGGGUGAGUAAUACAUCGGAACGUGUCCCUAGAGUGGGGGAUAGCCCGGCGAAAGCCGGAUUAAUACCGCAUACGCUCGAAAGAGGAAAGUGGGGAUCGUAAGACCUCACGCCCAAGGAGCGGCCGAUGACCGGAUUAGCUUGUUGGUGAAGGUAAAAGCUCACCGAAGGCGACGAUCCGUAGCGUGGUCUGAGAGGACGACCAGCCACACGUGGACCUGAGACACCGG
rnacentral:rRNA from 1 species